UCCUGGGUAUUAAUGUGCAGCUGGAGUUGUAAUUGCAGGGGAAUUCUAUAAAAAGAAAACAGAAGGCCAUGUUCCUGUUUAGAGUGGUAUAUAGGUUGGUAUAGGUUGAAAAAAGUCAAUCUGUAGCAAUCGGCCGGUGCUCAACUCGGCCGAGCUAACGGAUUUUGUGAACUUCACACCCAAGGUACAAACCAUCCCCCACGAACCUGUAGUGCUGGAUAUAUUGAUGAUUCCAGACUAGUAAGAACUGCAGAACUCACAAAGAGAAUGUCCGCUGCCGUUGGUGAAUGACUUCAAACUUUAAAUUGAGAAAUCUGUCGAUAUAUCUGCUCUGCUACUGCACCUGUUGAAGAACUUUAUGUUUGAUUUUGCAGGGUUAGGGUGGGGAGUCAUCCAGCAGAUAUAACACCAUGUCCCAGCAGGGUGGGGGUACUCGAGCAAAUGAUAAGAGGAUAUGCAGAUAAGUUGGGUGAACAUGUGGUAGAGCCAGCACUAGGUUUGACAUUGGAGAAAAUCAACAAAGACCAGGCGGGAAAUGAUGCUAGCAAGACAAUAGAUAUGUUUGCGGAGAUACUCCCUCCAGUCCUUUUUACUCCGCGUAUUAGAUUUGCAUCCGGUCAAACAUUGCAAAGUUUGACCAUAUUUAUAUUAAAAAAUACCAAUGCCUAUAAUACCAAAUAUAUAUACUAUGAAACUACAUUUCAUAAUGAAUCUAACAAUAUUGAUCUGGCAUUGUGAAUGCUGAUACUUUUUUUCUAUAUGUUUGGUCAAAGUAGAGAUACUUUGACUUUGGACAAAACUUAUAAGCACUUUGGCCAAGGACUGUGAAUUCCUGUUUAGAGUGCAACCUGAUGUUGGGAGCCAUUUUUUUCAGUCGUGUUGGGAGCCAUAUUAAGAGUCUGAUGUGGGCUACCAGUAGCAGCCGUGACCACAUAGGAAGAAAACCUGCUCAAAUCCUCUGGGUGAAAAUUUUACAGCAAUCCAGGUGUAACAGGUCCUUGUAAUGCAUAAUUCAGCAAGUCUGAAAAUCAGUUGUUUUCUUUUUUCCUGUGGGGUGGGUGUACUCCAGAACUAGGAAGUUCUGUUUGUAGUAGAAUGCUGUGAUAGAUGUGGAGACAUAAAAUGACGCUUACGGGAUGUUUUAUUUGACUGAACUGAUUUUGAUUCUGUUUGAGAAAUUGUGUAUCAGGCGAUUUCUUGAGACAUGCAGUUCUGGGAGUUGGGCUUGGC
rnacentral:lncRNA from 1 species